CCUACGGGAGGCAGCAGUCGAGAGGCUUUGGCAAUGGGGGAAACCCUGACCAAGCGACGCCGCGUGGAGGAUGAAGGCCCUUGGGUUGCAAACUCCUUUUGUCGGGGAAGAAACACGAUCAGGUGAACAAUCUGGUCGUUUGACGGUACCCGGCGAAUAAGCUCCGGCUAACUCCGUGCCAGCAGCCGCGGUAAU
rnacentral:rRNA from 1 species